AAGAAGUCCAGGUACUACUGGAGCACAACCUAGAAUGGGUGUUGCUAUGGUUUGGUAGCAGCUUUACUGACUUCAUGGAAUUCGUCUUGCUGGGAUCCUGCCCAUCACUCAGGCUUGAGUCAAAAUGAAGAUGGCAUAUGGAAAGGCGAUUCUUAUACUCAGAAGGAAAAGUUCCCAUGGAAGCCAUGGAUUCAUUCAUGACAAAGUGGGUGGCCUGUUUGUUUGCUUGAGGAUCCCAGCCAUGUUGCCCUCAGUAGCCCUCCCUCCUUGGACUGUGACAGUUUCUCCAUCUUCUUUUGUUUACAUGACCUUGAUCGCUUUGAGGAGUACAGGUAUGACCUCAUCACUCCACCAGCAAGAAGUAGAGUCUGAUUCCUUUCUUGAAUCUGGACUGAUCUCAGUGACUCAUUUGUCAUCAUAGACUGAGGCAGACAUGACACUGCAUGACUUCAGAGGGUAUGUCAGAAGAAGACUUGCAUUCUAUGCUUUCAUCUCUUCUCACUGUCUGGUUGUUUCCUCUCAGAACAUGUCCUGUAGGAACCCAGCCAUCAGGCUGUGAGAAGCCCAUGACCCAUGGGCAGGCCAUGGGUAGGUGCUCCAGUUGAUAGUCUCAGCAGAGCUCAGCUUUUGCAUUAUCCAGCUCUAAGGACCAGACAUAUUAAUGAAGGAGAGUCCAGAUGAUUCCAGCUACUUAGCAUUCAAGUCACCGCCUAGUCAGUCCAGUCCUCCUAGCUGAGAUGCAACUAUCAUGGAGCAGAAAGAAGAUACCCCUACUCUGCUUGACCUUCAGAAUUCAUGAGCAUAAUAAAACAGUUGCUGUUUUAUGUCACUAAAUUUGAGGUGUUUAUUAUGCAGUAACAGAUAAAUAGAGCACAGACCUUGGGCAAUUUAUUUAAUUCUUCUGUGCCUUAGUUCAUUCUGUAAAAUGGGGAUGUAAUUGUACUUACCUUAAAGGGUUGUCAUUAAAAUUAAAUGAGCAAAUGCAUGUACAGCACUUAGAAUAGUUCUUGAGACAUAGCAAGGACUCAGUAAUUGCUGUUAAAUAGAGAACAGUUAGGAGCUAAAGGAAUUAAGAGGAGGAGGAGCUGAUAUAGUUGAAUCUGUCACCAAGGAGACCUAACUUGGGCUGAGUCCCAAAGGGUGAGUAUUUUCAAUAUGCAGAGGUUGUCAAGGAGAUUGGAAGGCUAUGUGCUUAAGCACAUGAACCCCAAAGUAGGACUGGCAUAUCGGUGGGACAGAACAAGGACCAGCAUGAGUGGUGCAUGUGUUGGGGAGGUGUGAGGGAAACUGAAGUGGUCGGGACCCUACUACAGAAGGCAUCAAAGGCCGAACAAAAGCCUCUGAGUUUUCUGUAGCAGAUAACAUGGAUCAAAUUUCUCUUGUGGGAUGUUAUUCUUCCAAGUAAAUUAUCAUUGUAAUGAUGGUCUCUACUCAUAUUCAUCAGACUGUUCUCUAAAUCUGUUGAAGCCCGUGGGUUCUAAUUAAAAUG
rnacentral:lncRNA from 1 species